UACGAAGGGGGCUAGCGUUGCUCGGAAUCACUGGGCGUAAAGCGCACGUAGGCGGAUUGCUAAGUCAGGGGUGAAAUCCUGGAGCUCAACUCCAGAACUGCCUUUGAUACUGGCGACCUUGAGUCCGGGAGAGGUGAGUGGAACUGCGAGUGUAGAGGUGAAAUUCGUAGAUAUUCGCAAGAACACCAGUGGCGAAGGCGGCUCACUGGCCCGGUACUGACGCUGAGGUGCCAAAGCGUGGGGAGCAAACAGG
rnacentral:rRNA from 1 species